rnacentral:lncRNA from 1 species
UAAUGAAAGAAGGAACGAUACCGGAACAAUUUGUAGGGCUCUUUGAUUCUUCUUCAAUGGUUUCUCCCACAAUAGUAAGUAAAGUUCUCUUUACUUUCUUUGAGUUUGAGCUUGCAAUAUCGAUAUCUGUUUAAUUACCAAAAAAUAUAAAGGGGAAAACAUAGUAAUUAUAUGUAUACUUGCAGUUUAGCAUUAGAUAGUAAGGUAUGUUGAACAAUAAGAAACUAUGUUAUUACUAAAUAAUACUAUUACCAAGUACUUACUGAUCAUCUUCGAUCUCUAUAUCUUUAAUAAAUAAUACUGCUACCAAGUACUGACUGAUCAUCUUUGUAUCGCUAACCAAUUUGCAUAGAUAUGUAGGGUUAGUUUGAAUGUCUCUUUCAAGUUAGUUAGCUGAUAGAUUAUUCAAUUUAUGUCUCUUUCAAUUCGGUAUAUCCAAUAGGAUUUACUCCUAAGCUAUGGAACAUGAAUAGGGUCCCCCUCACCUCCACCUACCAAAAUAAAGAAUUAGUGCAAGACUUCAGGAGGUCAAGCUAGUACAAUAAUAUUACAGAAGCAUCUUGAAUUUUUCAUAUUGGAUUUAGUGUGGAUGAAAGGAGAAAAAAAGUAAUGGAUGUUCUGGGGCUUCUAAAAAUUUGGGUUCUCAGAGAAAACAAUUUGGAAAUUAAGGACACAUUUAGCAGUGAUCCUUAUGUUGUUGGUGAUGUGGGUGGACAGGCAUGUUUUAUUUUCUUUAUUAUCUAAGUUCUCUCUUGUACUUCCAUGUCUUUCUAACAAUUUUAUAUGUGCUAAAAGAAUCCAACCUUUUAUAUUUGAUGGUGGCUUUUGCUAGUCUGUUUUCUAGAUGCUUCUUUCUCUUAUUUUUAUGAGAAUUGAGCAGGUUUCUUUGUGUUAGGUUGAUAUGUAUUCCUUGUUCCUCCAAGUCUGGUUAAGUUUUUCUGCCACCCUCUUAGAAUCCUUCUUGCUUAUUCUGGAAUUGAUUUGAUCAGCUUUCGAAGCUCUCAUUUUUGUUUUUAAUUGUGGAAUUUGUAUAUGAUAUCAAGGCUUAGGCGUCAUUUGUUUUCAUUUAAUUGAGGUCUAAAUUUGAUCUGUUUAGAUCUUAGGCCAUUAAGUGCAUUAAUCUACAUUAAGAUGUCAACACUUAUUUGGUCUGAAUAGGUAAUCAUUAGAAUCUUGAACAAAGUCUUUAUAUCAUUAAGAGGUAUUUUUUGUGUGCAUAAUGUAAAUUCUUCAAGCUCCUAAUGCUUAAUGUGAUUUUUUUAUUUGAGUAAAUGACAGAAAAUUUGCUUAAGGUGUAGCCAACUGGUGAAAAUAGAUUUUAGGAAGACAUUUUGCUUUGCCCUUUAGAGAAAUAAUCAGUUCCUAACAAAAUUGCAUUUAUGCAAAUUUUUGCUUAGAACUUGAUUUGUCUAUUGCCUUUUUUGGAUGAUUGAUUCGAUGUGCCCUUAACUUAAUUUAGCUUUUUUGGUUGAUUGAUUCUUGAAGACAAGAAUAUGGACAGCGAAAUACUGGUUUUUGUGCCAAAUACUGAUUUUUGUGUAUUAUUCAGAUCCCUCUUGAUAUGUCAUUUCAAUGCAACAUUUUUGUGUCAAUGUUGAAUAGAAUAUUAUAAUGACAUGAACAACACUCGCUCAAUUUUUUUUGACACUAAACUGUGAAUUAUUACCAUGAAUCUUAUGUUCGUAUGUACGUUUCCGCGAAUUGUUGAACUAUUUGAAUGAAAUGUUGUCCACAACUGAUGUUAAGCCUGACUUUUACACCUUUCCUCCAGUGUUGAAAGCUUGUGAUAGUAUAAUUAAUGGUCUAAAAAUACACUGCUAGGCUUCAAAACUUGGGUUAAAGUGGGAUGUGUUUUUAGCUGCCUCAUUGGUGCAUGUGUGUUGUCGUUUUCAAUCUUUGUGUGUUGCCUUAAGAAUUUUUAAGGACAUGCCUUGUCGGGAUAUAUAUGGGUUGUUGGAAUGCUAUGAUAACUGGGUAAUUUUGUCAGAAUGGAAAUGCUAUUAGUUAUUAUACUACUAAUUGAGUAGUUUAAAAUUGUAACGUGAAGUAGUUAUUGAUUGAUUUAUUUAACAUUUAUCAUGAUGCUUUUAGUUGUUUGUAGUUGUACGCAAACAUAAAUGUUUUAUAAUGAGGACUGAAAGUUUAUUUACUUGAUUUUUAUACUUUGAAUUUUUAUGUAGUCAAGUGAUGCGGCCAGUGGACCUAUUUCACCCAUAGAUGCAAGGAGACCACAUGAUUAUUGUGAUCCUAAUGACAGUCAUUGAUUUCAUUAUAAAUUGUCUUGGAUAUUCAAUUAUGUCUUGAUGUAUUUGUGUAUUUGGUUGGACUGAAUCUUAAAACACUGAAGUUUUUGUAUUUAAAUUUGAUUUUGAAGAUACUACUUAAUGUUGGAAAAUUGGAGUUUGAAAAUGUUAAUGUUGAAUAUUUAAUUUUGAAGUUUAAUGUUUAAUGUAUUUUUGACGUGUUUUUCUAUUA